rnacentral:rRNA from 1 species
AUUGAACGCUGGCGGCAGGCCUAACACAUGCAAGUCGAGCGGAUGAGUGGAGCUUGCUCCAUGAUUCAGCGGCGGACGGGUGAGUAAUGCCUAGGAAUCUGCCUGGUAGUGGGGGACAACGUUUCGAAAGGAACGCUAAUACCGCAUACGUCCUACGGGAGAAAGUGGGGGAUCUUCGGACCUUACGCUAUCAGAUGAGCCUAGGUCGGAUUAGCUAGUUGGUGAGGUAAAGGCUCACCAAGGCGACGAUCCGUAACUGGUCGGAGAGGAUGAUCAGUCACACUGGAACUGAGACACGGUCCAGACUCCUACGGGAGGCAGCAGUGGGGAAUAUUGGACAAUGGGCGAAAGCCUGAUCCAGCCAUGCCGCGUGUGUGAAGAAGGUCUUCGGAUUGUAAAGCACUUUAAGUUGGGAGGAAGGGCAGUAAGUUAAUACCUUGCUGUUUUGACGUUACCAACAGAAUAAGCACCGGCUAACUUCGUGCCAGCAGCCGCAGUAA